AUUGAACGCUGGCGGCAUGCCUAACACAUGCAAGUCGAACGGCAGCACGGUCUGGUUUACCAGAUGGGUGGCGAGUGGCGAACGGGUGAGUAAAGCGUAGGAAUAUACCUUAAAGAGGGGGAUAACCUGGGGAAACUCAGGCUAAUACCGCGUAAACUCUGCGGAGCAAAGCUGGGGACCGAAAGGCCUGGCGCUUUAAGAAUAGCCUGCGUCCGAUUAGCUAGUUGGUGGGGUAAAGGCUCACCAAGGCGACGAUCGGUAGCUGGUCUGAGAGGACGAACAGCCACACUGGGACUGAGACACGGCCCAGACUCCUACGGGAGGCAGCCAGUGGGGAAUAUUGGACAAUGGGGGGAACCCUGAUCCAGCAAUGCCGCGUGUGUGAAGAAGGCCUGAGGGUUGUAAAGCGACUUUCAGUCGGGGUAGGAGGAUUACUAGGUUAA
rnacentral:rRNA from 1 species